UGCUGGUGGUUCCUCAAGGCGG
rnacentral:siRNA from 1 species